rnacentral:lncRNA from 1 species
AAAACAACUGUCCAAUUUACUGAAGAGGAUGAUACUCUCAGGUCUGAGGCUGAGUCCAUCAAACCUCCUGUAUCUCUGCGGGAAAAUCGGGGAAACUGAGGGACACUCAAGCUUGAACUUGGAGGUGCAAGGAGCUGAGCAACUGAGUACAAACUCGGAAAAUGUGUGACGCGCGGACGCCGACGACGAUGGCAGGGCUUACAGCCCUGUCAGCAUUUCCCAACUGUGCAAGGAAAUGAGGACUCAGCAACAGAAGCACACCUGCCGCCCCUCAUCGCGGAGAAGACGCAAUAACCUAAGGUGAAGAAACCCAAACUCUGAGAAGGCUGCAACACAGCACCCCUAGAGACACCACCCCUUUUGGUGUCUUGACCAGUCACAGAUGGAGAGUCCCACGGACUGAGACGACAGGGGUCACCUAAGACCAUCAGAAAACACAGGUUUUUACGUUACGACUCAUAAUGGUAGCAAAAUUAUAGU